CUGCUUAUUGGCAGAGGAGAUAGCAUGAUCACCAAGGUGAAUGUCAGCCAGUGCACUAUGGCCAUGCUGACCCCUGCAGUUUUCCUAAAUGUGGGAAUCUCUACUGCAUAAUUUCUGGUACUGGGGGACAAGGGCGUAAGAGGGGCAUGGAUACUCA